GACGAACGCUGGCGGCGUGCUUAAUACAUGCAAGUCGAGCGAGGUUAUUGUUUCAAAGUCCUUCGGGUGGCGAAAUUUUAACCUAGCGGCGGACGGGUGAGUAACGCGUGGGCAACCUGCCCUAAAGCCCGGGAUAACAGUGGGAAACUACUGCUAACACCGGAUGGUCUCAUUUUGUGGCAUCAUAAGAUGAGUAAAGGUUACGCUUUAGGAUGGGCCCGCGUCCCAUUAGCUAGUUGGUGAGGUAACUGCUCACCAAGGCGACGAUGGGUAGCCGGCCUGAGAGGGUGGACGGCCACACUGGGACUGAGACACGGCCCAGACUCCUACGGGAGGCAGCAGUAGGGAAUAUUGCGCAAUGGAGGGAACUCUGACGCAGCGACGCCGCGUGAGCGAUGAAGGUCUUCGGGAUCGUAAAAGCUCUGUCCUCAGGGAAAAGGUUAUUAAACUUGACGGUACCUGAGGAGGAAGCCCCGGUAACUACGUGCCAGCAGCCGCGGUAAAUCACGUGUA
rnacentral:rRNA from 1 species